GUGUCAGCAGCCGCGGUAAUACGUAGGUGGCAAGCGUUGUCCGGAAUUACUGGGCGUAAAGGGCGUGUAGGCGGUCUUUUAAGUCAGGCGUGAAAGCCCUGGGCUCAACCCAGGAACUGCGUUUGAAACUGGAAGACUUGAGGAUCGGAGAGGGCAGUGGAAUUCCCAGUGUAGCGGUGAAAUGCGUAGAUAUUGGGAGGAACACCAGUGGCGAAGGCGACUGCCUGGACGACACCUGACGCUGAGGCGCGAAAGCUAGGGGAGCAAACGGGAUUAGAAACCCUCGUAGUCC
rnacentral:rRNA from 1 species